CACGAAGUUAGCCGGGGCUUCUUCUUCCGGUACCGUCAUUAUCGUCCCGGACGAAAGAGCUUUACAACCCUAAGGCCUUCAUCACUCACGCGGCAUGGCUGGAUCAGGCUUGCGCCCAUUGUCCAAUAUUCCUCA
rnacentral:rRNA from 1 species